AUGUGUUGUUUUCUCUUCAUAAAGGCAAAGAAGGACUCUUUCAUUUUUGUCUUUGUAUCUCCAAUGCCUGAAGCUGGCCCCAUAGCAGGCUUGUGGAUAAAAAACAGGCCUUCAGAGUUUGAAGACAGACGGCUGUCCCUUCUUUUCUCUGGAAAGCCUGGAGAGGCUCCUCUUCAGGGAGGAGAUGACCAGAAGAAGGGAACAAGCAUUUAAGCACUCUGCUAAAAGGUUGAAAGAAUCUUGAAACCAUUGACAAUUCAGAGUUCCUUAUUAAAAUAUAGAUAUCUUCAUUGCAAGAAACACAUAAAGAGGUCAUCUGGGCAGAGACUCCUGAAGGAAGCAGCCAGCAGAAAGCUUGAUAACUAUUUAAAGGGACACUGAAGGGCAGGAAGGGACCAUUUGGCCAGUGGCUGCCAUGGUUCUGGGGGCUGAUUGAUUCUAUGUCAGUCCUGAUGCAAAAGUCUGACAGAUGGAGCCAGGUAUAUUUGUGUAUCCUAGGCAACUAAGCAUCAUUUAAAGGUGCCGUGUUUCCCCCCACUCACCAGGUUCCAGCUGGUGUGGUGCUGUAUUGGAGGCUUGGAGAUUUUUCUGUGACACAAACAGUUUAAACCAGAUUCAUCAUAAAAUCAAUCUUCCAUAGAAAGUGAUUUCAAGGAACUUGGAAGACUUGGAGGAAGUAGUAAAGUGAGCAGAACCAGGAGAAUAUUACGCAGUAAGAGCAAAAAAGUACAAUGAUCAACUGUGAAUGGCUUAACUAUUAUCAGCAAGGCAAGAAUCCAGGACAACUCCAAGGGACUCAUGAUGGAAAAGGAUAUCUACCAUCAUAGAAGGAACUGAUGGAGUCUGAAUGCAGAUUCAGAAAUGAAAGAAAAUGAAAGCAUACAAUUCUUAAAAAAAAAAAUUACCUGUUGUCUUAGUAUCAAGGGCAAGGGCUAAGCAAAUAGGGUUAAGUGAAUUACCCAGGGUCACACAGCUAAGAAGGGUUGGAGUUAGGAUUUGAACCCAGGUCGUCCCAACUCCAGAAACUGGUGCUCUAACUGUCCCAAAGCAUACCAUUCUUCACUUUAUUUCCUCCAUGGAUUUUGCUCUAGUAUAAUUGAUUUUGUGUCUUUUUCACAUGAUAAACGUGGAAUUAUAUGACAACACAGGGUACAAUCUACAUCGUAUUACCUGCCAUCUCAAGAUGGAGCAAAGGGGUGGGAGGAAGGGAGAGGACAUGGAUUGCAAAAUGUCAGAAAAGGAUUAUUAAGAUUGUGUCGACAUGUAAUCUGAAAAAAUAAAAACAAAAUCAAACAAAACA
rnacentral:lncRNA from 1 species